AUUGAACGCUGGCGGCAUGCCUUACACAUGCAAGUCGAACGGUAACGGGCCUUCGGGUGCCAACGAGUGGCGAACGGGUGAGUAAUACAUCGGAACGUGCCCGAUCGUGGGGGAUAACGCGGCGAAAGCUUUGCUAAUACCGCAUACGAUCUCCGGAUGAGAGCGGGGGACCGCAAGGCCUUGCGCGGACGGAGCGGCCGAUGGCAGAUUAGGUAGUUGGUGGGAUAAAAGCUUACCAAGCCGACGAUCUGUAGCUGGUCUGAGAGGAUGAUCAGCCACACUGGGACUGAGACACGGCCCAGACUCCUACGGGAGGCAGCAGUGGGGAAUUUUGGACAAUGGGCGCAAGCCUGAUCCAGCCAUGCCGCGUGCAGGAUGAAGGCCUUCGGGUUGUAAACUGCUUUUGUACGGAACGAAAAGCCUUCUUUUAAUACAGGAGGGUCAUGACGGUACCGUAAGAAUAAGCACCGGCUAACUACGUG
rnacentral:rRNA from 1 species